rnacentral:rRNA from 1 species
GACGAACGCUGGCGGCGUGCCUAAUACAUGCAAGUAGAACGCUGAAGGAGGAGCUUGCUCUUCUGGAUGAGUUGCGAACGGGUGAGUAACGCGUAGGUAACCUGCCUGGUAGCGGGGGAUAACUAUUGGAAACGAUAGCUAAUACCGCAUAACAGUAGAUGUUGCAUGACAUUUACUUAAAAGGUGCAAUUGCAUCACUACCAGAUGGACCUGCGUUGUAUUAGCUAGUUGGUGGGGUAACGGCUCACCAAGGCGACGAUACAUAGCCGACCUGAGAGGGUGAUCGGCCACACUGGGACUGAGACACGGCCCAGACUCCUACGGGAGGCAGCAGUAGGGAAUCUUCGGCAAUGGACGGAAGUCUGACCGAGCAACGCCGCGUGAGUGAAGAAGGUUUUCGGAUCGUAAAGCUCUGUUGUAAGAGAAGAACGAGCGUGAGCGUGGAAAGUUCACACUGUGACGGUAUCUUACCAGAAAGGGACGGCUAACUACGUG